rnacentral:rRNA from 1 species
UACGUAGGUGGCAAGCGUUGUCCGGAUUUACCGGGCGUAAAGAGCGCGCAGGCGGUCGUUCAAGUCGCGUGUGAAAGCCCCCGGCUCAACUGGGGAGGGUCACGCGAUACUGAUCGACUCGAAGGCAGGAGAGGGUAGUGGAAUUCCCGGUGUAGUGGUGAAAUGCGUAGAUAUCGGGAGGAACACCAGUGGCGAAGGCGACUACCUGGCCUGUUCUUGACGCUGAGGCGCGAAAGCUAGGGGAGCAAACGGG